rnacentral:rRNA from 1 species
UAUUUAUUUUAUUAUAUUUAUUUUUUGUUUAUUUAAUUAUUUAAUAAAAAUAAUUUUGUUGAAUUUUGUCUUAGUAUAUUUUGUAGAAUUGAUUUUUUAUAUUAUAGUUUAUUGGUAAUGUAAUUGUUUUAUGAAAUAUUAUUUUAAAUUUUUAAAAGUAGAUUUUAUUUAUUGUACCUUUUGUAUCAGGGUUUAUCAAAAUUUUAGUAUUUACUUUACUUGUCUCGAUUUGGGUUGAUUUAUAAAUAAUUUAUAGUUAAUGUAUCACAAUUCUUAUUAAAUUAUUUAUAGAAAUGAGAUGUUAACCGUUUCCCAAGAUAUCUAGUUUCUUAAGAAAAAAUUUAAUUUUUUAAAGUUAAUUGUUUUUAUUUAAUUUUUUAAGUAUAAAUAUUAACUUAUUUAUUCUUUAAGGGAUAAGCUUUGAAGUUAAUAACCUAUAAUUUGUUUUAAUAAAAUAUAAUAGUAAGCUUUAAACCAGCUAUCUUUAAGAUUACGUUUUAGUUCAUUAUUUUUAUUUUUGAUUUUAUAACUAUUUUAGGUUUUUUAUUAAGAUUAUAAAUUUAAUUUUUAAAUUUUUGUAAUAAUGAUAGAAUUAGUAUAUUCAUUUGUAUAUAAUUUUUACCCUGGUAAUUUAUUAUAAGGAACUAGGC